rnacentral:rRNA from 1 species
CGCUGGCGGCGUGCUUAACACAUGCAAGUCGAGGGUAGCAAUACACUGGCGCAAGGGUGCGUAACGCGUAGAUUAUCUGCCCCAUACACUAACAUAACGCUUGGAAACGGGUGCUAAUAUUAGAUGAGGUGCUUCGGCAUCAAAGUUUCGACGGUAUGGGAUGAGUCUGCGUCUGAUUAGCUAGUUGGUAGUGUAAUGGACUACCAAGGCGACGAUCAGUAGCUGGUCUGAGAGGACGAUCAGCCACACUGGAACUGAGACACGGUCCAGACUCCUACGGGAGGCAGCAGUGAGGAAUUUUGCGCAAUGGACGAAAGUCUGACGCAGCGACGCCGCGUGUGGGAUGAAGGGGCUACGCCCUGUAAACCACUGUUAGAUGUGAAAAAAAGAUGGCUUUGCCGUCCGGGAUUGUAACAUCAAAGAAAGGACCGGCUAACUACGUG